AACGAACGCUGGCGGCAGGCUUAACACAUGCAAGUCGAACGCAUCGCAAGAUGAGUGGCAGACGGGUGAGUAACGCGUGGGAACAUACCCUUUUCUACGGAAUAGCUCUGGGAAACUUGAAUUAAUACCGUAUACGCCCUACGGGGGAAAGAUUUAUCGGGGAAGGAUUGGCACGCGUUGGAUUAGCUAGUUGGUGGGGUAAAGGCCUACCAAGGCGACGAUCCAUAGCUGGUCUGAGAGGAUGAUCAGCCACAUUGGGACUGAGAAACGGCCCAAACUCCUACGGGAGGCAGCAGUGAGGAAUAGUGGACAAUGGGCGCAAACCUGAUCCAGCCAUGCCGCGUGAGUGAUGAAGGCCUUAGGGUUGUAAAGCUCUUUCACCGAUAAAGAUAAUGACGGUAGUCGGAGAAGAAGCCCCGGCUAACUUCGUGCCAGCCGCCGCAGUAAAAC
rnacentral:rRNA from 1 species